rnacentral:tRNA from 2 species
GCGGGCAUAGUUCAGCGGUAAAAUCUGGGCUUCCCAAGCCUAAGUCGCGGGUUCGAUUCCCGUUGCCCGCU